rnacentral:piRNA from 1 species
UCAGUUGUUGGUUCCGUGAGUCUGAGAAGC